CAGCCAGGCCCCAUGUCACAGCCAGGUUGUCCUUGAAAAUUUCUGUCAUAUGACUUCCUUCCUCUACAUUUCCACUGACCCACCCAGCUCGGAGUUGCAUUACAAGAUUAUGCAACAGUCUCUGAAUUGUCCUGUCAUUUAGUCAGCUGACAUUUCGUGAGGACAGACUGUGUAUGAGGCAUCAUGAUGCCACAUGCCGGGAGGUACUAAGAGGAACGAGGCACGCAGACAGCUACAUUCUAAGUCAGAGGAUGGAAAGUAGCAGAAGAGAUAAAGAGCAAAGGAAAUCUGCAGGUGGGAGGUGUCACUUCCAGAGAAAGAAGACUCAGAAAACUUCAGGCCAGCCAUCAAGCCAAAUCUGGCACAGCGUGGAGUCACAUCAAUUUUGGCAACUGACUAAAUCAAGGCAAUGACAGGAAUUCUGGCAUUUGGUAACUGGGCCCCGGACCACGGGGUGAUGGACGGCCGUGCUACCCUUGCAGGGGGCCACAGGAAGCAGACUCGGGGCAGGUGAAAGUAGCACGUCCAGCUUGGGCUCUCACGAGCCUGGGGUCCCUGCGGAACUUCUAAGUGAAGGUCCAGCUCCGACAUGGGAGGAGCAGCUGCAGACGUGAUGCCUUCAUGGGAUGACGCACUUCCCAAAGCUGGUGCUGGAGAGGACAGCUUUUCAUCUGGCUGUUAUGGCGACAAGCCAGGCAAUAAAAACACACACCUUUCCCCUGCUGCUAGCUGAAUUUCCAGAAGACUGCAACUUACUAUUUAAAAGAACAGUCCAACAGGCUGCUCUGCGCUCUCAGCAAAGAAGAACGAAGGAGGGAGUAAACAGUGAGCCGGAGUCAGAAGGAAUAAGGGAAGAGAAGAGGAGAUGAGGGAAAUAGGAGAGGGAAACAAAAGAAAUAAAGAGACAGUAUGGCUUAUCCAUGGUUCCAAACUUCAAUGCACUCCUUGGACUGCUUAUUGAAAAUGCACAUUUCUGGCCAGGCGCAGCGGCGCAUGCCUGUAGUCCCAGCUACUCAGGAGGCUGAGGCAGGAGGAUUGCUUGAGCUUAGGAG